AACCGAUUGGCUUGUGACCCUUUGGUAAUUCAGUAAGUUCCCAUGUACCAUUUUCCUGUAUUGAAGUAAUCUCCUGUUCCAUUGCUCUUCUCCAAUUUUCAUUCUUAGAGGCCUCUUUAAAAGAGGUGGGUUCCUCCAAAGAAAGAAAACAUAAGCUGGCUUCUUCUAUUUCUCGAGUAUUGUUGUAAAUCUCUUGAAGAGAUCUGUAUUUCCGUGGUUCACUUGAG
rnacentral:misc_RNA from 1 species